GGGCUUCUAGUCUAGUGGUAUGAUUUUCGCUUAGGAUGCAAGAGUUCAUGCGUUUGAUUCUCAAAAUGGCCCU